rnacentral:rRNA from 1 species
UGCCUUUUGGUUUGGAUAACACGGGGAAACUUGUGCUAAUACCGGAUAAGCCCUUACGGGGAAAGUUUUAACGCCGAAAGAUGAGCCCGCACUUGAUUAGCUAGUUGGUAAGGUAAAAGCUUACCAAGGCAAUGAUCAAUAGCUGUUCUUAGAGGAAGACCAGCCACAUUGGGACUGAGACACGGCCCAGACUCCUACGGGAGGCAGCAGUGGGGAAUCUUGCACAAUGGGGGAAACCCUGAUGCAGCGAUGCCGCGUGAGUGAAGAAGGCCCUUGGGUUGUAAAACUCUUUCGUCGGGGAAGAAAAUGACUGUACCCGAAUAAGAAGGUCCGGCUAACUUCGUGCCAGCAGCCGCGGUAAUACGAAGGGACCUAGCGUAGUUCGGAAUUACUGGGCUUAAAGAGCUCGUAGGUGGUUAAAAAAGUUGAUGGUGAAAUCCCAAGGCUCAACCUUGGAACUGCCAUCAAAACUUUUUAGCUAGAGUGUGAUAGAGGUAAGUGGAAUUUCUAGUGUAGAGGUGAAAUUCGUAGAUAUUAGAAAGAACACCAAAUGCGAAGGCAACUUACUGGGUCACUACUGACACUGAGGAGCGAAAGCAUGGGUAGCGAAGAGGAUUAGAUACCCUCGUAGUCCAUGCCGUAAACGAUGUGUGCUAGACGUUGGAAAUAUAUUUUUCAGUGUCGCAGCGAAAGCGUUAAGCACACCGCCUGGGGAGUACGACCGCAAGGUUAAAACUCAAAUGAAUUGACGGGGACCCGCACAAGCAGUGGAGCAUGUGGUUUAAUUCGAAGAUACGCGCAGAACCUUACCAACACUUGACAUGUUCGUCG